rnacentral:lncRNA from 1 species
UUUGAAGUUGCAGUUUUACCACCCCAAGGCACAUGCUCCGUUCGGAUUGAGGAUAGCCAUACCGAACCUCAGUGGCAAUGUCGACCAUGACCUCAUUCCAUACAAAGGCUAUACCCUAGGACUAUACAACCGAGGCAAGGAGGAAAGGUAAGGCCAGGUUCGAAGAGACUAUUGCAGCACAUGAUAUGUCAAGAAAGCAGGCCUCCAACGGGCCACCCAUCGUUGAGAUAGGUUGAAACAAUCUUUGGAGAAAGAUAUAGGCCAAGGAAUACUCGGUCAUCAACCAGUUGAACAAAAG